rnacentral:rRNA from 1 species
AGAGCGAACGCUGGCGGCAGGCUUAACACAUGCAAGUCGAGCGGGCGUAGCAAUACGUCAGCGGCAGACGGGUGAGUAACGCGUGGGAACGUACCUUUUGGUUCGGAACAACCCAGGGAAACUUGGGCUAAUACCGGAUAAGCCCUUACGGGGAAAGAUUUAUCGCCGAAAGAUCGGCCCGCGUCUGAUUAGCUAGUUGGUGAGGUAACGGCUCACCAAGGCGACGAUCAGUAGCUGGUCUGAGAGGAUGAUCAGCCACAUUGGGACUGAGACACGGCCCAAACUCCUACGGGAGGCAGCAGUGGGGAAUAUUGGACAAUGGGCGCAAGCCUGAUCCAGCCAUGCCGCGUGAGUGAUGAAGGCCCUAGGGUUGUAAAGCUCUUUUGUGCGGGAAGAUAAUGACGGUACCGCAAGAAUAAGCCCCGGCUAACUUCGCGCCAGCAGCCGC